UACAGAGGAUGCAAGUGUUAUCCGGAAUCACUGGGCGUAAAGCGUCUGUAGGUGGUUUAAAAAGUCCACUGUUAAAGAUUGAAGCUUAACUUCAAAAAUGCCGUGGAAACUUUUAAACUUGAGUAUGAUAGGGGUAGAGGGAAUUUCCAGUGGAGCGGUGAAAUGCGUAGAUAUCGGGAGGAACACCAGUGGCGAAGGCGAUCACCUGGGGUUGUUCUGACGCUGAGGAGCGAAAGCUAGGGGAGCAAACGGG
rnacentral:rRNA from 1 species